AGAGUUUGAUCAUGGCUCAGAUUGAACGCUGGCGGCAGGCCCAACACAUGCAAGUCGAACGGUAACAGGAAGCAGCUUGCUGCUUCGCUGACGAGUGGCGGACGGGUGAGUAAUGUCUGGGAAGCUGCCUGAUGGAGGGGGAUAACUACUGGAAACGGUAGCUAAUACCGCAUAAUGUCGCAAGACCAAAGAGGGGGACCUUCGGGCCUCUUGCCAUCGGAUGUGCCCAGAUGGGAUUAGCUUGUUGGUGGGGUAACGGCUCACCAAGGCGACGAUCCCUAGCUGGUCUGAGAGGAUGACCAGCCACACUGGAACUGAGACACGGUCCAGACUCCUACGGGAGGCAGCAGUGGGGAAUAUUGCACAAUGGGCGCAAGCCUGAUGCAGCUAUGCCGCGUGUAUGAAGAAGGCCUUCGGGUUGUAAAGUACUUUCAGCGGGGAGGAAGGGAGUAAAGUUAAUACCUUUGCUCAUUGACGUUACCCGCAGAAGAAGCACCGGCUAACUCCGUGCCAGCAGCCGCGGUAAUACGGAGGGUGCAAGCGUUAAUCGGAAUUACUGGGCGUAAAGCGCACGCAGGCGGUUUGUUAAGUCAGAUGUGAAAUCCCCGGGCUCAACCUGGGAACUGCAUCUGAUACUGGCAAGCUUGAGUCUCGUAGAGGGGGGUAGAAUUCCAGGUGUAGCGGUGAAAUGCGUAGAGAUCUGGAGGAAUACCGGUGGCGAAGGCGGCCCCCUGGACGAAGACUGACGCUCAGGUGCGAAAGCGUGGGGAGCAAACAGGAUUAGAUACCCUGGUAGUCCACGCCGUAAACGAUGUCGACUUGGAGGUUGUGCCCUUGAGGCGUGGCUUCCGGAGCUAACGCGUUAAGUCGACCGCCUGGGGAGUACGGCCGCAAGGUUAAAACUCAAAUGAAUUGACGGGGGCCCGCACAAGCGGUGGAGCAUGUGGUUUAAUUCGAUGCAACGCGAAGAACCUUACCUGGUCUUGACAUCCACGGAAGUUUUCAGAGAUGAGAAUGUGCCUUCGGGAACCGUGAGACAGGUGCUGCAUGGCUGUCGUCAGCUCGUGUUGUGAAAUGUUGGGUUAAGUCCCGCAACGAGCGCAACCCUUAUCCUUUGUUGCCAGCGGUCCGGCCGGGAACUCAAAGGAGACUGCCAGUGAUAAACUGGAGGAAGGUGGGGAUGACGUCAAGUCAUCAUGGCCCUUACGACCAGGGCUACACACGUGCUACAAUGGCGCAUACAAAGAGAAGCGACCUCGCGAGAGCAAGCGGACCUCAUAAAGUGCGUCGUAGUCCGGAUUGGAGUCUGCAACUCGACUCCAUGAAGUCGGAAUCGCUAGUAAUCGUGGAUCAGAAUGCCACGGUGAAUACGUUCCCGGGCCUUGUACACACCGCCCGUCACACCAUGGGAGUGGGUUGCAAAAGAAGUAGGUAGCUUAACCUUCGGGAGGGCGCUUACCACUUUGUGAUUCAUGACUGGGGUGAAGUCGGAACAAGGUA
rnacentral:rRNA from 1 species